UGGAGCUCCUACAAUAUUUCGAAUUGCGAUGGGUUUCGUACCGCUCAUGCUUCCAUCUAUACAUGGAAGAAUUAUUGAGGCAACAAGAAACUGCUUCUGCGAGAACAUUAAACAGCGAGACUCUUCAACAGAGUUACUUGAAAAGUUAAAGAAGCUUGAUCCUGGACUCGGCGAGAUGAACAAUGGAUCGUCAGCAAGGUUGAGCCGAAUUUCGGAUGAUUACACCGCGCUCUUGCGAGUGAUAAACUCCACAGUUGGAAAAGAGCCGGAAGACGUGCAACUGGCUGUGGCAUGGGUCAUAAAAAACCGCGGGGAUCAGGAUCGUGCCGAAUGGGGUGGCGGUUCCAUCGCCUCGGUGUGUGGCCAUCUGGAGUCGCUCGGGAGUUUUAAAAACGAUACCGCCGAGUUACACGAUGCGAAUUCUCAAAAGAAAACUGAAAGCUGGCUGGAGAGGGCGUACGACCGCCCGGAUCCUACGGAAGGAGCCGUGUACUUUACCAAAAAGAAAAACGAAACACAACGGUCACUGUGUAAAAUUGCGGGAUACUGGUUCCAAACGGAACUGGAGUAAGAAAAAAGUGAAAGUUAGCAGAUACAUGUCCUACUUUUUUCGUACUAAUGUUUCAAGUUUUUCACUAGCCUAGCGAUCAUACGUACAUGUAUGUACUUUGAAUUUUUUAUUACUUCAAACCAUCAUUAUAUAAAAAUGUAUCAAAUGCAAUUAGAAAAACAAAAGCUCGUUAAAUAACUCAGCUUUCUCCACGGUGCUCAUGGCUGAAACUGCGCCACCCCG